rnacentral:tRNA from 1 species
UGCUUCAGUGGUGUAGUGGUAACAUUAAUCGCUUCCAACGAUUAGCCUCGGGUUCGAUUCCCGGCUGGAGUAU